CUGAGAUCAUCAAGAUUGGAGGGAGUCAGGAAAGGCCAGUAUUGUGUGGGAGAAAAGGUGAGUAAAAUCACCUUUUCAGCGCGAUCACCUAAAAUGCCACAUCAGGACUAUACUGUCAGGAAUACAUGUUUCCUGUUUGUGUUCCUGACAAUACAAUGUUCCUUUAUUAAAGGAAAACUGUUUUUUUUUUUUAACUUUCUGCAUCAUCUUCCUGCACUUUUUAAACAUGCCCCCUCUUUACACAAAUCAACUUCUUUAUUACAUAUAUUCUGACAAUAUAC